rnacentral:lncRNA from 1 species
UACUACUUAGUCACUAUAAUGAUACUAGACCCAUUUCACACUCUCUUGUUAUUCCCUAACUCAAGAUCAUCAAACAAUACGAAAUUCGUCUUACAUUUUCAACUGACAAAUUCAUUUUGAUACCAAAUAUAAUUAAACUAGCUAGUUCACUCUGCGAAUAACUCGUUAGACGCAAACUAGUGAUCGACAUGUUUAAACUCAAUCUUUUUUCUUCUUUUUUUUUUUUUUUGAGAGAUAGGUAGCACGCUACCUGCUUCGUUUAUUUCAUUUAGAAAUAAACUUAGCUGGAAAUAUGAAUCAACUAGGAUUCGAACUUGGGUCUCGGGUACCAACCACCAAGCCCUUUGCCACUUGCUCUAGGGAUUAAACUCAAUCAUUUUUAUUUGAGCUCUGAAUUUUUAUGAAACCAAUCAUAAAUUUAAUGAUAAA